rnacentral:ncRNA from 1 species
CACUUAGUAUUCAUAAGAUGACAUAUUUUGUAAAUUAUUGCUUAGUAAGUACCAUAACAAGUUACAAGUAGUUCACUGGAAUUUUAAGGUUAAAAUGCCAUAAAAUUUUACAUUUCAUGUUCAGUGUUGAUAUUUGGGUGGCUUCAGAACAGAGUCAAAUUUACAAAAGGUCUACUGGAAUAGGACUCCGGUUAUAUUUUGUUGGUUUUUGGCAACAGGGCCAUGAUUAAGAGGGAUGGCUGGGGUCAUCUGUAUUGUGCUGCUCGAGGUGAAAUUCUUGGACUGGUGCAAGAAGGCCUAGAGUGAAAGCAUUUGCCAAGAAUGUUUUCAUUAAUCAGAAAUGAAAUUCAGAGGUUCAGAGAUGAUCAGAUAUUGUCGUAGUUCCAACCAUAACCAAUAUCGACUGGUAAUAAAUCUUUUUCAGGGGAGACUCUGUGGUGCAAUUGGUUACUGUGUUUGGCU